GUUUGUGUGUGUGGAUUAUUUAAAGACUGUUUAUUGUGAACUCUGAUCUUCACCAGUUCCUUCCCACAACUCACUGUGACAGUAACCCUGCCAAUAUUAUUACAACAUAAAGUUUCCAUGAGCUGAAGGUGGAACUACUUACAGUUGUGGUCAGCCGUGUUACCUCACACCACAUGGCUGAGAGGACGAUCGGGAGGAUGAAGCAGACGAGGGGUGCGGUUACACCAUAACCAGUUUGCGCUGCUGCCAGGGGCCAAACCCACAGGCUGAGUUUUGUUUCUCAGACCCGAUGCUUCCUCCUUUCAUCAAGUUCUGGGCAAUAAUCAACUGUAAAUGGAUGAAGGUCAAGUAUGCAUAAAAUUUUUGUAGCUCAUCAGCUGCUUUGAGGUGCACUGGUAUGACGCCAGCUUGUUUUGGUUAGUACCUGUGUAAAUCUGGGACCUCCGCCAGCGCCUCAUGUUCCAGCGUUUUCCUCCCAGGCCAGCAGCUCAUAAAGCUGUCAGUGCACUUGUAGUCCUGGUCACCUUUGCCACGAUUUAAGUCAGCAAAUUUCCUCCAUCUUGCCUCACUCUCACUCUCAUCACUCUUGUACACACAUGACCUCAGACAGCUCACGACAGACAGG